AACGCAUCUUGCGCUCGCUGGUAUUCCGGCGAGCAUGCCUGUUUGAGUGUCAUGAACUCUUCAACCGUCGCAGUUCCUUGUUGAACUGCGAGGUGUUUGGAUUCAGAAUGUUGCUGGCCUGAAGUCUCCGGAUUUCAACGGCGAAGCUCGUUCGUAAUACAUUAGCAUCUCAAUUUCGAGUGUUCGGAUUGACUCGGCGUGAUAGACUUUAUUCGCUGAGGACACUUGGUUUGCAAGUGGCCGAAUUUCGAGGUGGAAGCUUCGAACUCUACUGAAGUCGAAUCACUGAUUAGACCUCAGAUCAGGCAGGACUACCCGCUGAACUUAA
rnacentral:misc_RNA from 1 species